CUUGGCGGCCAUAGCGAGUUGGUACCACCCCUUCCCUUCCCGAACAGGACCGUGAAACGACUCAGCGCCGAUGAUAGUGCAGAUCCCUGUGUGAAAGUAGGUCUCCGCCAAGC
rnacentral:rRNA from 2 species